GGAAUAUUGCGCAAUGGGCGAAAGCCUGACGCAGCGACGCCGCGUGGGUGAUGAAGGCCUUCGGGUCGUAAAGCCCUGUCAAGAGGGACGAAACCUUGCCAACCUAACACGUCGGCAACCUGACGGUACCUCUGAAGGAAGCACCGGCUAACUCCGUGCCAGCAGCCGCGGUAAUACGGAGGGGGCUAGCGUUAUUCGGAAUUACUGGGCGUAAAGGGCGCGUAGGCGGCCUCGCAAGUCAAAGGUGAAAUCCCUCGGCUCAACCGAGGAAUUGCCCUUGAAACUGCGUGGCUUGAGGCCGGGAGGGGGUAGCGGAAUUCCUGGUGUAGCGGUGAAAUGCGUAGAUAUCAGGAGGAACACCGGUGGCGAAGGCGGCUACCUGGACCGGUUCUGACGCUGAUGCGCGAAAGCGUGGGGAGCAAA
rnacentral:rRNA from 1 species